UUGAGUUAGCAAAUGGAUUGCAAGCUUGGAAGGUUUUGGAGGAUUUAACCAAUCAUAUUGAUAUUAUUUUAACUGAGGUGGCAAUUCCCAUCUUAUGAGACAUUGCUCUUCUAUACAAGAUUAUGGGCCACACAACACGGAAAAAUGUUCCAGUAACUAGCAAUGUAUAAUGAUUUUUCAGCAGCGAACAUACAGAUUGAUAUAGAUUUCAAUGCAAAGCUUUCAGGAUAUGGUUUUGUUGGACAUAUUGCUGAGGAAGCGUUUUCAAGAAGUUUAGCUGCGGUAGGAAAUCUUUCUAUG